rnacentral:rRNA from 1 species
GUCUAUUAUGAAGUUGUUAAUAGUCUGGCCUGCUCCCUGAUUAUAAAUUAAAGAGCCGCGGUAAUUUGACCGUGCAAAGGUAGCAUAAUCAUUAGUUUCUUAAUUGGGAACUUGUAUGAAAGGUUUGACAAAGAAAAAGCUGUCUUUAUUAUAAAAAUUGAAUUUAACUUUUAAGUGAAAAGGCUUGAAUGAUUUAGAGGGACGAUAAGACCCUAUAAAGCUUUAUAUAAAAAAUAAUUAAGAUUGAAUUUACAAUAAUAUUCUGAAUUAAUUAUAUAUUUUGUUGGGGUGAUAUUAAUAAAAUUAAUAUUAACUGUUAAAAGAAGAUACAUAAAUAAAAGGGUUAAAACUAUUAGUGAUCCUUAUUUAAAGAUUGAAAGAUUAAGUUACUUUAGGGAUAACAGCGUAAUUUUUCUUAAGAGCCCAUAUCGAAAGAAAAGAUUUCGACCUCGAUGUUGAAUUAAGAUAUCUGUGUAGAGUAGCCGUUACAUAAGAAGGUC